ACGGGAGGCAGCAGUCGGGAAUAUUGCGCAAUGGAGGAAACUCUGACGCAGUGACGCCGCGUAUAGGAAGAAGGUUUUCGGAUUGUAAACUAUUGUCGUUAGGGAAGAAAAAAGACAGUACCUAAGGAGGAAGCACUGGCUAACUAUGUGCCAGCGGCCGCGGUAAUACAUAGGGUGCAAGCGUUAUCCGGAUUUAUUGGGUGUAAAGGGUGCGUAGAUGGGAAUUUAAGUUAGUUGUGAAAUCCCCCGGCUUAACUGGGGAACUGCAACUAAAACUGAAUUUCUUGAGUGCUGGAGGGGAAAGUGGAAUUCCUAGUGUAGCGGUGAAAUGCGUAGAUAUUAGGAAGAACACCAGUGGCGAAGGCGAUCUACUGGACGAUAACUGACGCUGAGGCGCGAAAGCGUGGGGAGCAAACAGGAUUAGAUACCCUGGUA
rnacentral:rRNA from 1 species